GACGAACCGUGCAAACGUUAUUCGGAAUCACUGGGCAUAAAGGGCGCGUAGGCGGCUUUCUAAGUCAGGGGUGAAAUCCGGCAGCUCAACUGUCGCAGUGCCUUUGAUACUGGAGAGCUCGAGGGAGGUAGGGGUCUGUGGAACUUCCGGUGGAGCGGUGAAAUGCGUUGAUAUCGGAAGGAACGCCGGUGGCGAAAGCGACGGACUGGAUCUCAUCUGACGCUGAGGCGCGAAAGCUAGGGGAGCAAACGGG
rnacentral:rRNA from 1 species